rnacentral:rRNA from 1 species
CCUACGGGCGGCAGCAGUGAGGAAUAUUGGUCAAUGGGCGAGAGCCUGAACCAGCCAAGUCGCGUGAAGGAUGAAGGAUCUAUGGUUUGUAAACUUCUUUUAUAUGGGAAUAAAGUGAGGAACGUGUUCCUUUUUGUAUGUACCAUAUGAAUAAGCAUCGGCUAACUCCGUGCCAGCAGCCGCGGUAAUACGGAGGAUGCGAGCGUUAUCCGGAUUUAUUGGGUUUAAAGGGUGCGUAGGUGGUUAAUUAAGUCAGCGGUGAAAGUUUGUGGCUCAACCAUAAAAUUGCCGUUGAAACUGGUUGACUUGAGUAUAUUUGAGGUAGGCGGAAUGCGUGGUGUAGCGGUGAAAUGCAUAGAUAUCACGCAGAACUCCGAUUGCGAAGGCAGCUUACUAAACUAUAACUGACACUGAAGCUCGAAAGCGUGGGGAGCAAACAGGAUUAGAUACCCUUGUAGUC